rnacentral:lncRNA from 1 species
CUGAGAUCCUGGUGUGACCAAGCUUCUGGGAUGCUGGGAUCCUGGAAUCCUAAGAUCCUGGGCAUGUUAAAGCGCCUGGAAAUGGUACCUCCUCUGGAGACCAAGGGGCUGUCUGCUGUGUUCAAAAUCAAGCUGCAUCUCUAACAGAUGAGUGUUGAUCUCUGUUACACUAAAGAAUACUUCGUGCCAGCAGAAGAAUCCAGCCUCUGUGACAACCAUAGAAAUGUGCUGUUCUUUAAUCGCUGGCUGACUCAGUUGUGGUGAACACCAGAGGAACAAGCUUUUUGGUUUAAGUUCUUUCUGUGUCUUUGGGUGGGCCAUCUUGUGUGUGGGGGCAAAUGGCAACAUGCAGUCAGGGUGGCUGUACAGGUGGCCCUUGGAGAAAGGACAGCUGUAAAUGCCCCCACCCCCACCCCGUUUGCAGAAAGCCAAGUUACUUCUUUCAUUUGGAGAGAAUGUAGCAAUUACUUGAAAUUACUGCUGAAAAUCUCAUCUGUUACUUCCUCUUUUAGAAAGGAUGGUCAUUUUAGGGCUAGUACCACUUAUAAAUGGCUUUCCACAAUGACUUUUUGAGUAGCACAGUUGUCCCCAGCCCGCAACCUGGACCUCUCAGUUUGCACUGUGAUGUGCCAAAAUAGGUGGGCAUCAUCAGAACCCAGUUCUCUCAUUACAGCAAGCCCUAAAUACACCAACAUACCUGAAAAUCAGGAA